rnacentral:lncRNA from 1 species
CAGGGAGGGUGCAGCUGACCUCCCUCCCCUUGUGCAGACUGGAAGAGAAUGGCCCAGAUCCUCUGGACUCCUCAGAUGAGCGGAUUCAGAGAGAAGCUUUUGAGAGCGUGCUGGCAGAGACAUUUUUCACAAAAGAGCCCUUGCGGUGCUGGUGUCCAUGGCGUGCCUGGGAAGGCCCACCAACGCGGGCCGGCCUCCAAGCACCCAGGCCUCUGCUCACGUACAGCUCCUGAACUGCCCUGCCUCUGAGUUACUGUGGAAAACGAGCUUAUAUAUGAAGAAGUCAGCGAGUGGACAAAGCCAGGCGCAAUGGAUAGCAAAGAUGUGGAAGUCUCCUCGAUUCAAGUUAGAAGAAAACCACAGCAUGGAGUCUGCUCUCAGCUGUUGGGGAAUUACUGAUGCCUUUGACUAAGUCAAGACUGACUUUUCCAGAAUAUCACCCAAGAGAUAAAGCCGUCCCUGUCCAAGUUUGUGCGCUAGCCCUUCAUGGAGGUCAGAGAGGAAGAAACAAAGGCAGCUGUGGCCUUGGCGGUCACAGUGUCAGAACGCACAAGCCCCAUAAAGAGGUUUCACGCAGGCCACCCAUCCCUUUUCAUUCUCCAGCAGAACAGGACAGAGAGCGUUCUGUUCUGCGGAAGGUCUUCCACUCUACAAGGCAAUCCCUCCAGCUGCUUUGCUGUAUUGUGCUGUCUCCUGUCACACUGAAUGCAGUGACCUCAGCCAGCAGCAGGGAGAACCCCCCUGCCUCCCGAACAAAGGACCUCACGUGAAAUCCUGAGCUCAGAGCUUACAGAUAUGUGUGUGCUUUCACUUUACAUCGGCCGUGACUUUCAAACAACUUCAGGAAACUUUAGGAUCUCUGAGGUACACUGGAGAUUACAGCAGCGUAGAAUGUUCUUUUGGAUUUAGAACAGAAAUGCUUAUUUUAUAUUUGGCUGCUCCCAAACUGUCCCCAGACCUCCUCUCCAGUGGUUACCCUCCACUGCCCUGGAUGUCCCACAUUCACACUCACACCUCCACCCUAACAAAGUCCUCCACUGGGUCAAACCAUACAUCGCUUCGUCUCUGUAGUGACGACUUCCUGUC